rnacentral:rRNA from 1 species
UGCAGUCGAGCGGAGACGACACUAACAAUCCUUCGGGUGCGUUAAUGGGCGUCGAGCGGCGGACGGGUGAGUAAUGCCUAGGAAAUUGCCUUGAUGUGGGGGAUAACCAUUGGAAACGAUGGCUAAUACCGCAUAAUGCCUACGGGCCAAAGAGGGGGACCUUCGGGCCUCUCGCGUCAAGAUAUGCCUAGGUGGGAUUAGCUAGUUGGUGAGGUAAUGGCUCACCAAGGCGACGAUCCCUAGCUGGUCUGAGAGGAUGAUCAGCCACACUGGAACUGAGACACGGUCCAGACUCCUACGGGAGGCAGCAGUGGGGAAUAUUGCACAAUGGGCGAAAGCCUGAUGCAGCCAUGCCGCGUGUAUGAAGAAGGCCUUCGGGUUGUAAAGUACUUUCAGUUGUGAGGAAGGGGGUAGUGUUAAUAGCGCUAUCUCUUGACGUUAGCAACAGAAGAAGCACCGGCUAACUCCGUGCCAGCAGCCGCGGUAAUACGGAGGGUGCGAGCGUUAAUCGGAAUUACUGGGCGUAAAGCGCAUGCAGGUGGUUCAUUAAGUCAGAUGUGAAAGCCCGGGGCUCAACCUCGGAACUGCAUUUGAAACUGGUGAACUAGAGUACUGUAGAGGGGGGUAGAAUUUCAGGUGUAGCGGUGAAAUGCGUAGAGAUCUGAAGGAAUACCAGUGGCGAAGGCGGCCCCCUGGACAGAUACUGACACUCAGAUGCGAAAGCGUGGGGAGCAAACAGGAUUAGAUACCCUGGUAGUCCACGCCGUAAACGAUGUCUACUUGGAGGUUGUGGCCUUGAGCCGUGGCUUUCGGAGCUAACGCGUUAAGUAGACCGCCUGGGGAGUACGGUCGCAAGAUUAAAACUCAAAUGAAUUGACGGGGGCCCGCACAAGCGGUGGAGCAUGUGGUUUAAUUCGAUGCAACGCGAAGAACCUUACCUACUCUUGACAUCCAGAGAAGCCAGCGGAGACGCAGGUGUGCCUUCGGGAACUCUGAGACAGUGCUGCAUGGCUGUCGUCAGCUCGUGUUGUGAAAUGUUGGGUUAAGUCCCGCAACGAGCGCACCCUUAUCUUGUUUGCCGCGAGUAUGUCGGAACUCCGGGAGACUGCCGUGAUAACCGGAGGAAGGUGGGACAACUCAGUCAUCUGGCCUUACAAUAGGCUACACCUGCUACAUG